AUGCUUCAAGAAGUGGAGGGGUACUUUGCAAAAUGGGGACAAGAGGGCAUAAUAGAUCUAAAGCAUGAGCUGAGUCAAGUAUUAUUGUUGAUCUCGGGUCGGUGCCUAAUAGGAAAAGAGAUUCGGGAGAAGAUGUUGGAUGAGUUCUACGCAUUGUUUCAUGAUGUUGAAAACGGCCUUAACUUGAUCAAUCUCGCAUUCCCAUAUAUCCCAACCACGAUAAACCGCCGCCGCGACCGAGCACGUAGCAAGCUCGCAGAAAUGCUCUCUGAAAUCGUGAGGUCACGUAUGAGCCACGACCAAACUGAAGAGGAUGCAUUACAAAAUCUGAUUCAUUCCAAGUACAAAGAUGGGCACUCCAUGACCGAAUCAGAGGUCACUGGGCUAAUGGUUGCUUUGGUCUUUGUUGGAAAGCACACGAGCUCUCAAUCUUGUGCCUGGACAGGAGCUUACCUUCUCAAUGACAUAAAGUGCUUGGUCGCAGUCAUCGAGGAGCAAAAGCAAAUCAUCAAGAAACACGGGGACCAGAUCGACUACGGUGUCUUGCUGGAGAUGGAUACCCUGCAUGGGUGCAUCAAAGAGGCGCUACGGUUGCACCCUACGACACCAAUGCUAAUUCGCAAGGCACAUAAGCACUUCACGGUGUGGACUAAAGAAGGCAAUGAAUAUAACAUCCCAGCAGGGCACACACUUGUGAGCCCUAAAAUAUUCAACAACAACAUUCCUAGUAUUUAUAAGGAUCCUAGGGUAUAUGAUCCAGAGCGGUUUGGUUCUCAAAGAAAGGAGGACAAGGUCGGAGGAAAGUUCUCUUACACAUCAUUUUCUGGUGGAAGGCAUGCUUGCCCCGGCGAGGCCUAUGCUUACAUGCAAAUUAAAGUAAUAUGGAGCCAUUUAAUUAGAAACUUCGAGCUUAAACUGAUAUCUCAUUUCCCAAAGACAGAGUGGAGCAAGUUCGGGCUAGAGCCAAAAGGGAAAAUAACGAUAAGUUAUAAGAGGCGUCAGUUGGUUGCUUGGUACCUACUCCCUCAGUUCCUAAAUGUAAGUCUUUUUAGAGAUUUCACUAUAAAUUACAUACGGAUGUAUAUAGACAUAUUUUAG
rnacentral:rRNA from 1 species